AUGCUCACUUUGGCAGCACAUGUACUAAACUCUGACCAUACAGAAAAGAUUAUUAUGGCCUCUGUGCAAGAAUGGAAUGCAAAUUCAUGAAGUGUCCUAUAUACAU